GUGACGCGCCAACUUAAUCGUACCUGACGUCACGUCUGGUCGUCUUGGCCCACUGGCCGCUAUUGGCCAGGCUGGUUUGGGGGAUCCCCUGCUAAUUGGGUGUCCAGAUUGCCUGGUCUGGUUACCUGGGGUCGAAGCCCCGCCCCUUGGGGGUAUAGUAGUAGAGAGCCGGAGUGUAGGGGAGAGUCUCUUCCUGCGCUGGUGGUCCUUGGAGAGGAGGAUCCCCACCCCGAAUGUGAGGCCAAUGAGAAUCGUCUCUAGAAUGCAGCAAACCAUGAGGUGGCAGUUCCAAGUUCACUGAAGCAGUGAGCUCCCUCCCUGUUCACAAGGUGGCUGCAGCAGUUCCAGCUAUCACAAUCUCACACCAAUGUCCAGGCUAUGCUGCCUCUCCAGGUGAGAGGACUUGGGAAUCUGUAGAGAAAGGAGCCUUUGCAGGGGUGGUGCUGAAGAACCAUUCACCAGGAAAAAGCUGAACAAACAGAUGGAACUUCCUUGGAAUGUCAACCAACAAGAGCCCUGCUCCUGCUGACAGAGGUUGUAAAUUUUACUGACGACCUCUCUAGAAUGUCAUCUCCACUGCCCAGUUUCCCUGGGAAGCUGCAGCUAGAAAUAACAAAGCCAAAGUCUAUCUUUGUUGUCUUUCUUUAGGAGGCCCAAUAACCCGUAACACUAGCACCAUAAGUUGAGCACUACUCUUCAUGCUCCUAAAAUUUUCUCCUCCUAACAUAGUUUCAGUGGUUACUGUCAUGAUCUAACCAUUUCAGCUACAUUAAUCUAAACAAAGCUUCUGCACAGCAAUGAAAACCAUCAACAAAAUGAAAAGGCAACCUACAGAAUGGAAGAAAAUAUUUGCAAAUUAUAUAUCUGAUAAGGAGUUAAUAUCUAAAAUAUGUACAUAAGGUGUGUAAAUAUACAAAGAACUCAUACAACUCAGUAACAACAACAACAAAAAAACCCCAACACUCCAAUUAAAAAAAACUUAUGGAUAUAAGUGGGCAGAAAAACUGAACAGUUUUUCAAAAAAGACAUACAAGUGAUUAACAGGUAAAUGAAAAGGUGGUCAACAUCACUAAUCAUUAGGAAAAUAAAAAUCA